UCAGAGCAGAAGUGGAAGCGGUGUGCAGAGCUGGGUAUUACUGCCUGUGAGUUCGGCCUAGCCCAGGAAUGCCUUCGGCAUGCUAAGGAUUACGAGGGCUUACUCCUCCUCGCCACCGCUUCCGGUAACGCCCGUAUGGUGGGCAAGCUGGCCGAGGGUGCAGAAAGGGAAGGCAAGAACAACGUUGCCUUUGUGACCUAGUUCCUGCAGGGGAGACUUGAUGAUUGUUGAGAGGUUUUGAUAAAAACCAAGCGCCUUCCUGAAGCUGCUUUAUGGGCUCACACUUACCUGCCCAGCCAGGUGUCCCGUGUGGUCAGACUGUGGAGGGAAAACUUGGCCGAGGUCAACCAGAAGGAGUUUACGCGUCAAGAUGCCGUUUGUCUGCAGGUGUUCAAGAAUGAAGAAUAAAAGAAGAAUUGUUUAUUAUAUUGUGUUACUGUAUAUGUUUGUCUUUGGCACUAAAUAAACUUGAUAUCCAGCUCCUAAA